rnacentral:rRNA from 1 species
UACGGAAGGGGCAAGCGUUGUUCGGAAUCAUUGGGCGUAAAGGGCGCGUAGGUGGUUCUGUAUGUCUACCGUGAAAGCGUACGGCUCAACCGCAUUUUGUCGGUGGAAACUGCAGGACUUGAGGCUGGGAGGGGCUGGUGGAAUUCCCUGUGUAGCGGUGAAAUGCGUAGAGAUGGGGGAGAACACUCGUGGCGAAGGCGGCCAGCUAGACCAGUUCUGACACUGAGGCGCGACAGCGUGGGGAGCAAACAGG